rnacentral:rRNA from 1 species
GAUGAACGCUGGCGGCGUGCCUAAUACAUGCAAGUCGAACGCAUUGAGAGAAGUGCUUGCACUUUUCAAUUUGAGUGGCGAACGGGUGAGUAACACGUGGGCAACCUACCUGAUAGCGGGGGAUAACGAGUGGAAACAUUCGCUAAUACCGCAUAACAAUAGAGAAGGCAUCUUCUUUAUUUAAAAGGCGCUUUCAAGCGUCACUAUCAGAUGGGCCCGCGGUGCAUUAGUUAGUUGGUGGGGUGAAGGCCUACCAAGACGAUGAUGCAUAGCCGAGGUGAGAGACUGAUCGGCCACAUUGGGACUGAGACACGGCCCAAACGCCUACGGGAGGCUGCAGUAGGGAAUCUUCCACAAUGGACGAGAGUCUGAUGGAGCAACGCCGCGUGUGUGAUGAAGGCUUUCGGGUCGUAAAGCACUGUUGUAUGGGAAGAAAUGCUAGGCUAGGAAAUGAGCUUAGUUUGACGGUACCAUACCAGAAAGGGACGGCUAAAUACGUGCCAGCCGCCGCAGUAA